rnacentral:rRNA from 1 species
CAUUAAAAAUGGACCGGGAGCAAUUGCUAAUCAGACUCCCGGGAAGGUCUUCGGACUCGGUGAUGGUACCUUAGGGGGCGCAAGCCCCCUCGGGCUUACGGGGCAACCCGGCCGGAUCUUCUAAACCCUGUGUUAACAAACCUUUGUUGCUUUGGCGGGCCGCGGCCUCCGCUGCGGGCUCACGCUCGCACGUGCCCGCCAGAGGAAAAAACCCUUGAAUUUAGUGAUGUCUGAGUACUAUUAAAUAGUUAAAACUUUCGACAACGGAUCUCUUGGUUCUGGCAUCGAUGAAGAACGCAGCGAAAUGCGAUAAGUAAUGUGAAUUGCAGAAUUCAGUGAAUCAUCGAAUCUUUGAACGCACAUUGCGCCCGCUGGUAUUCCGGCGGGCAUGCCUGUUCGAGCGUCAUUAUGACCAACUCACGCUCUACGUGGUCUUGGGGUCCGCUGUCACGGCGGCCCCUAAACUCAGUGGCGGUGCCGUGCGGCUCUCAGCGUAGUAAUUCUUCUCGCUACAGGGUCCGUCCGGUGCUGGCCAGCAACCCCAACUUCUUUAGGUUG